rnacentral:lncRNA from 1 species
GGGUCGAUUGGAAACAGCCUCUCUGCCCUUUCGGGUAGGGGUAUGGCUCGUCUACAUAUUACUUUCCCCAUACCCCACCUGGUGGGACUAUACUGGGUAGUUGUUGUUGUUGUUGUAAUUUCCCUCUUCGAAGCCCUGAUGGUUUUGUAUCUGGAAUUUUGAAUCUUUCAUGCGCUGAAAUACCUUAUGGUAAGAUAUUAUUGUAACUAUCUCAUGUAUAUCUUCAAUUGAGAAGCUUUUCAUUGUUUAGUUUAAACAAAAAGUUAAUGAAAGUCAGCCCAACACUACUUCUUUGGUUCCAUUUUCUGCAUAUCCUGGUCCGCUCCUAUUAUAUUUUCCUCUUUUGACAUGCAUUUCAGUGAUGUUGCAUUUUGAAUGAUGAAUCCUAAAUGCAGGAAAGUCUAUACAUUGACAGCUGCAGCGAACGAGAGGAGGUGGAGAAGAUGAAGGAUAGAUUACAUAGAUUCCUUCCAAUUUUUCAAUGUCUAAUGUAAUAUACUUUAGUAACACAUUGCUUCUUGGCUUUAAAUUCCCAGUUUUCCUCUUUAAAUAUCUAACAUUAAUUAGAGGUUGUAUAAUGGAUGUAGAUAUGAGGGUUUUGCUUAUUUUUAGCCAUUCAGAAUGGCAUUACAGAUUGUAUAGUAAUAGUACCAGUUCUAUGUUAUUUUCUUUACUGCCC